rnacentral:rRNA from 1 species
UACGUAGGGUGCGAGCGUUAAUCGGAAUUACUGGGCGUAAAGCGCGCGUAGGUGGUUUGUUAAGUUGGAUGUGAAAGCCCCGGGCUCAACCUGGGAACUGCAUUCAAAGCUGACAAGCUAGAGUAUGGUAGAGGGUGGUGGAAUUUCCUGUGUAGCGGUGAAAUGCGUAGAUAUAGGAAGGAACACCAGUGGCGAAGGCGACCACCUGGACUGAUACUGACACUGAGGUGCGAAAGCGUGGGGAGCAAACAGG